UUUGGAUUCAGGCAAUCUGAUCAGAGUCCAUGGUGUUAAAAGUUAGUGGGUCUCACAUGGAUUAUCACACCUGAAUUCUCUCAAGGCUUGUUAAAGCCCAGCUUCUGAUCCCAGUCCCACAGUUCCUGACUAAUUAAACAGGGUAAUCUGCCUCCUGUAAGUUCUCAUUUUCUCCAGAUGCUGCUGGUCUGGGGCCCAAAGUUUGAGAAGCAUGUAUGGAACUAUCACACCCUUUUAAAAGGCACAGCAGAAAACUCAUUUAAUAAGAAGUGAAGCUGUGAGGAAAAAAUGGGUAUCACCAUGUUCAAGUUGCUCAGCCUGUCCCCAGGUCAUUUGUUCUUCCUUUUCAUUGGGGUCCAGGUGGUCUGGUUUCAUUUCCUUACUUCUGGUAUUGUUUAAACAGAAGAUGCUGUUGUGUUUUUGUCUGGUGAGCAGAGAUCAAACUCUCCAUAAAUACUUGUUGAUUGAUCCAAAUCAGUUUGGUGUGGGCAAUUCAGGCUUAGUACCUGUCACAGCUUCCGGAUCCUACUGAUUUACAGAACCUGCUGAUGCUGUGGCUGCUGGAUUCCACUGAUUUAAAGGACCUGUUUAUGUCUCUGUUCCCACAGGCUUUGGCUAAAUAGUGUGGCUUUGUUUAUAAAAGGUGUCCAGAAGGACCUUUCCAUUUUGGCAAGUAUUUGAGAUGCAAAGGGCAUAAAUCAGCAUUUUCACCAUGUUCCAUCUGGCACUCACUGGUGGCACUGACACUUCAGAAGCCCUGCCGGGGCCAUCUGUUACCAUGUGGACACAUAACCUGCUGAGGAAAGUAGAACUUUAGAGUAAGCUUGAAGACCCUGACAACCAUGGCCAAUUUUCAUCGACAGCUUUAAGUCAUUAGAAUAUUUGUCUUCAUAAUUCAUCUUGGGAAAUGAAAUUUCUGAAAUAAUUUCACAUCUAUUCAUGCUCCUUUCUUUCUAAAAUAGCUCCUUACCAUUCAAAUAUUAGCAUAUAGUAAAAGGGAAAUAUUAUUAUUAUUAUUAUUAUUAUUAUUAUUAUUAUCAUUAUUAUUAUUGGUUUUCUUUUCAGUUCCAAGGGACAGUUCAGUUCUUUUUGUGACUUGUCCUGUGAAUCCAUGGGUUAAGAAAUUGCUGCAUCUUUCUGGAAAAUCGUUGUUGAGCUUUGAGAAUGGUGACUUUUUCUCAAACUCUGUGGAUGAGCACUAUGACACAAACAAAAACAAGAUGAAAUAGCUUAUACUCACCUUUUUUUCUUCCUGGCCUUAAGGUUCUCAUUUUCAAUAUUUUUAUCUCUAGAAUUUAUUGAGGAAAAUUUGUAGGGUUUGAGUAUAGUAUUCUCAGGUAAAAAAAUGUGUACCCAACACCCUACACUAUAGAAAGAAAGACCAUGAGUACAAUAAUUUCAUUGUAAUUCCUACUUCAGGAAUGUGUAAUUCAUGUAAACAUACACCUCAUAUGAUCCAUAUCAGGUUAUGAGUUUUCUCUGUCAUGUGCAAAUUUGUUCUCUCUGUUAGAUAGACAAUAUCAGAAGAGGGG
rnacentral:lncRNA from 1 species